rnacentral:rRNA from 1 species
GGACAGGCGGGGGCAUUCGUAUUGCGACGUUAGAGGUGAAAUUCUUGGAUCGUCGCAAGACGCACUAGAGCGAAAGCAUUUGCCAAGUAUGUCUUAAUUGAUCAAGAACGAAAGUUAGAGGUUCGAAGGCGAUCAGAUACCGCCCUAGUUCUAACCAUAAACGAUGCCAGCCAGCGAUCCGCCGACGUUCCUCCGAUGACUCGGCGGGGAGCUUUCCCCGGGAAACCAAAGCUUUUGGGUUCCGGGGGAAGUAUG